rnacentral:rRNA from 1 species
CCUACGGGGGGCAGCAGUGAGGAAUAUUGGUCAAUGGGCGGGAGCCUGAACCAGCCAAGUCGCGUGAGGGAAGACGGUCCUAUGGAUUGUAAACCUCUUUAGGCGGGGAGCAAUGCCGGGCACGCGUGCCCGGAGGGAGAGUACCCGCAGAAUAAGCAUCGGCUAACUCCGUGCCAGCCGCCGCGGUAAUACGGGGGAUGCGAGCGUUAUCCGGAUUUAUUGGGUUUACAGGGUGCGAAGGCGGAUUUUUAAGUCAGCGGUAAAAUGUCCGGGCUCAACCCGGGCCGGCCGUUGAAACUGGGAAUCUGGAGUGGGCGAGAAGUAUGCGGAAUGCGAGGUGUAGCGGUGAAAGGCAUAGAUAUCACGAAGAACUCCGAUUGCGAAGGCAGCAUACCGGCGCCCGACUGACGCUGAGGCACGAAAGCGUGGGGAUCGAACAGGAUUAGAUACCCCUGUAGUC